CUCAGUUCCAAACCUGGAGCUUGAUUAAAUUAAAAAAUAUGAAGCACAAGAACAAAGGAAGUGUUGUUAUUCAUCAAAAUGAAAAGACAGAAUGUAUGAAGAACCUAUGGAGAAAAACAACCAAAGAAUAGCGACUCCUUCCGAAAGUAUACAAAAGAUUGCAACAGAUUUGAGUCCAAAAGUAUUAUCCGGCAUAUUACAGUGACUGAUUUCAUUUGAAGAUGAAACGGGGGUGUAAAGUAGAGGCAAUAUCAAAGACAUUGCGCAAUACCAAGAAUACAAAGUCAUUGAAGUCACCCAGGAGAGUAGGAUUUGGAAUAGUUCUCUGUCCUACACACACUGUAGUAAGAAAUUAAACCACACAGAAUAUUUGCGUGGUAGAAAUUUUGUGGUUUAAUCUGCAUUGGUUCAAUUUCAAACAUAAUGUUUGCAUUAUGAUAAUGAUGUAUUGAUUUUUAUUUUCAAAGUACACUUUUGAUUGAUUAUUUUUUUGAUAAUUUGUGAAUGGUUAUCAACUGAAAAGCUUUUUCUUAUAAAAUUUUGACCCAGUGUAUUCAUCAAUUAGUUUAUAUUUAAAAGUUAUAAUACAAGGGUUGACACUUUAUGAUACAUUAUCAUAAUGAUUGACAGUUAUUAAUUAGUACAAGUCUGUUACAACUUAAUAAGAUUUGAAAGUGUAAUAAGUUAUUUAGCUCUAAAAGACAGGAAGAUUAAAACUAAAGGGAUCUGGUGAUUGAGUAUAUAGGGAUCUGAUAGAUUGACUCUAGAUUGACAUUAAAGGGAUCUGAUAGAUUGACUCUAGAUUGACAUUAAAGGGAUCUGAUAGAUUGACUCUAGAUUGACAUUAAAGGGAUCUGAUAGAUUGACUCUAGGGGAUCUUUUUAGAUUGAUCCUAAAGGGAUCUGGUAGAUUGACCCUGAGAGAUCUGUUUAUUGACACUAAAGGGAUCUGUUAGAUUGACCCUGAGAGAUCUGUUAGAUUGGUCUGUUUAUUGACAUUAAAGGGAUCUGAUAGAUUGACUGUAGAUUGACACUAAAGGGAUCUGGUAGAUUGACCCUGAGAGAUCUGUUAGAUUGGUCUGUUUAUUGACACUAAAGGGAUCUGUUAGAUUGAUCUGGUAGAUUGACACUAAAGGGACUUGAUAGAUUGACAUUGAAGGAUCUGUUAGAUUGGUCUGAUAGAUUGACACUAAAGAUCCUUAUUUUUUUUAAAGUGGUUCAUUACAUGUAAUAUGUUGUGUGAAUAUGUUCACUUUACAAAUCUGAUGGAAUAAAUUAAUUAAAGUUCAAGUGAAACCUAUCAAUCAUAUCUUUAAGUUAUUUUAAAAGAUCAACAAAGUAGUAAAAGCAAUCUAAAUAUUGGCAAUUUUUUAUGGUUUUUAAAAAUUUACUAUUGGCACAUAGACCAGGAAAAUACCCCAAUGUUAGAAUAUCUCAUAAAAAGUUGUAAAAACUGGUACAGUGUUAAUAUGCUUAUGUUUGGCAUAAAUAUAGCUGAUAAAAUAUUGCAUAUUUAAAGUCAGGGAUGGAAAAUUUUGUCAAAGAAGAACUCGUAUAUAUAUAUAUUUAUCAAAUUAAAUGUAUAGGACAUUAUAACAUUGAAUGUAUAAGUAUUUAUUUUAAGAAUAUUUCUUUCGACUCUGUCGGCUGAAAGUUCAUGGUAAAAUAGUAAUAAUGGGGUUUAAAUAUUAUUAAAUAGUUUCUAUUAUACUUUUAUGUUAGAAUAUAUGCAUUGUAUAGUAUUAAAUUUUAACAAAAGCUCAUUAAAUGUUAUCAAACCUGUUUGACAUUCAACUACUGAUUUUCUUAUCAAGAUGAAUAAAAGGAGAUCUUGGGUACACAUCAAAAACCAAAAGACAUCUAGGGUUUGACAUACAGUCUUAAAAAAAAGGUCUUUACUAUAUGCAUGUUAAUCUCUAAAUGACCCUGAGUCUUGAAUUGUUUUGAAUAAAUUUGAUAGAUGAUAUCAAAGAGCUGCUAUCUACAUUUAAUCCGAUAAAUAAAAGCACAGAGAUAAAACAAAAGACAAACACUGGCAAGAUUCAUUUGAGUCUUUGCACAGA